rnacentral:rRNA from 1 species
CAUAGCGACUAUCGUGGCAUAUCAAUAAGCGGAGGAAAAGAAACUAACUAGGAUUCCCUUAGUAACGGCGAGUGAAGCGGGAAGAGCUCAAAUUUGAAAUCUUCAAGGUUCUACCUUGACGAAUUGUAGUUUAAAGAAGUGUUUUCUGUUGGAGCUUUGGUAAAAGUUCUUUGGAAUAGGACAUCAUAGAGGGUGAGAAUCCCGUAUUUGACCAUUUCUUCCAGCUGUGUGAUACACUUUCAAAAAGUCGGAUUGUUUGGGAAUGCAGUCCAAAAUGGGUGGUAAAUUUCAUCUAAAGCUAAAUAUUGGCGAGAGACCGAUAGCGAACAAGUACCGUGAGGGAAAGAUGAAAAGAACUUUGAAAAGAGAGUUAAACAGUACGUGAAAUUGUCAAAGGGGAAGCGUUUGACACCAGUGUUGUUUUCUCGAAAAUCAAUUAAAAAUGGCUUGAUUUUGUGUUGUAUUGACCUUAUAAGCUUUCUGCACUUUUUUCUAUGUCUUUUUUAAUGCACUUUUCGUUUAACAAGUCAACAUCAAUUUCUUUUGUUGUAAAAGAGUCAUUGGAAGGUGGCUUUUUCUUCGGAAAAAGUGUUUAUAGCCUUUGGCUUCUGCAAUCGGAGAGAUUGAGGUCUGCAGCGUAGAUCCUUCGGGGUUAGAUACAUUUGUGCUAAGCUAUAGUUCUUUAUAGACAACUUGUUGACUAUAAUCAAUCCUGUAACUUACUCGCUUAUGCUAUUUUACCUACGCUUAGGAUGUUGAUAGUCACAGCGUGUAC